CUUUCCCUCCAAUUUCUCUCCGUGGCGGGAUUACACGUGGCUGAGGUGAUGUGCACAUGGGGCUGGACAGAGUUAGUGGAGGGGUAUAUUAGACCAAAGUACAUGUGCCAGCUCAUUCAUUGGUAUUGCCGCUGGAAACUAUACGCACUAUAAAACGGAAUGGAGGGAGUAGUAGCCGGCUCACAGUUAUGCCACGGUAACAUCAGUAACACAUCCCUUUUACAUUUCUCUUUUCUUCAGCUGGUAUCCCUGUCUAUUCUUUAACCAACAGGGGAGCGUAUAGGAGCAGAUCACCAGGGCCUGCAGCCUUCCAGGGCGGUUUGUCGCAGCAGCUCAAAGUAGCAAUUUAAGGCGGACCGGAGCGGCAUCUUUGCGCAUGAAGGUGGAGCCACUUAACAGAGGCGAAGCGCGUGCGGGGGCAGCUCAAAGCGAGGCGAGGCCAAGCACGCUGCAGGCGGCUCGCGGUCGGCUUGCCGGUUCACGGCCGCGGGUCGACGGUGGCGUCUAGAGGAAGCUCGGACUUUGAGCGGAGGCGAGGCACAACAGCUCGACGUCAGCGGCACACCUACGGCGGGUUACGGGCGUGGCAGCCGGUCAAGUCCGCAUCGGCGUGGCGGCUCAAAGCGAGUCGGGUCACAGCUGCGGGAGUGACACCGGUGCAGGCUGCAGCCCACGGGCAAGGGCGGCCCGAAGCCUGCUCCGGCAGGGGCCACGGCGGCUCUUAGCCAUUGGGUGAGGCUGGAACGAGGCUCCAACGGGCAACGGCUCAAGGCAGAAGCCGGGUUGGUGGUAAGCGAGGCCGAUUCCUUCAGUGACUCAGAGAGAGUGCGCCGGCUACGCUGCAGAUUCCGAAGUACACCGGCGGCGGAUUGGAGAAGCACCGGCGGGUUGAGGGCUGAAGCGUGGCAACUCAACAGGCGCGGGCGCCGGUAGGCACGGCGGAUUAGAUCAGCGGCGGUUCGAUGCCGCUCCAGCAAGGACGGCGCAAGGCGGGUAUAAACAGCUUGAAGGCGGCGCUUGAUGCCAGCCGCAGGGGCGGAGACCAGCGGACCGGUCGUGAUGCGAUGGAGGACCACGACGGGUUGAUGAGUCUGGAAAAUCCAUAACAAGAUUCCCCGCAUCAGGAGUAAGUAAAAUCCGGUUCACGGGGCGCAGGUCGUACGAGAGGAGCCGAGGACGGCCGGGUUGCAGCAAGGGCUCCGGCGGGGCGGUUCAGGGGCUGCGCAAGGGCGGCUCGACACCCGACAGCGGAGCGACGCGCUGGCGGCCCAGCGGCGAAGGCAUGCUAGUGACAGCGGCUCGGAGCGAUGCACUGGUGGCUCGGCAGCGACGGCUUUGAUGGCGGACCCGGCGGCGGAGGCAGAGCGACACCAGGCAGCUUGCAGGAGCGGAAGCUCAAGACCGGGGCAAAGCUGCGGCCUUACGGCUGUUUGAGGUGGAGACGGCAGCUCGGAGUUGCGGUUGGAGGCGCGGCGGCUUGGCCAGGUGGUGUUGACGGUCGGAGCCAGCCACAACGGUUUCACAGCAGAGGCCAGCAGAACGGCUCGAGGCGGAGGCAUCUUGGAGGUUCAUGCCGAGCCCGCGGCGGUGACUUGGCAACGCGGAGAUAGAGUCGGCCACUGAGGCGGCUUGAAGCCAAGUCAGAAGCAGAGCUCUUGGACGACUCGGAUCAGGUGCAGCGAGCGACACCAAGGCGGAUUCGGGAGAGAAGACGAGGUCAGUCACGGAGGCAACGCUCGAAUCCGUAGUCGAGGUGGUGGAAAAAAGAGGCGCGGCCGUCCAUGGAGUUGACCCGGCGAGGCGGAGGCAGGCCUGCUCUAGUACUCUACAUCGGGAGCGCUUUGGAAACGGCUGAAGGUGAAGAUGGCAGAGGCCGGUUUACAAGCGGAGGCGACCGCAGCUCGGAGUAGUCGAGCGCAACCGCAGUGGAGACGGGCAGCCGCUGGAGAGACGGCCAGCGGCAGGAGGCGUCCCAGAGGCAGACCGCGGCGAUGACUCGGACUGACGCGAAGCACCGGUUCCAUCAAGCGAGGUGGCCAGUUGUUCCUCGGCGAGGCGGAGAUCCGAUGCGAGGAGCCGGCUCUGGGCGACGAGGCGGAGCCACGCUUCGAUUGACAAAAUCCACGUCCACCUCCUCCAGUUUUUUUAGAAGUACGUCAGCACCUGGUUGAUUUGAUUUUUCCUCCUAGAAUUCUGUUCCUUUGGUUGGUGUACCCAAAAAAUCUUUCCAGCACCUUCACGUAAGUACCAAGUCAGCCACUAGUACGUAGUAGUAUCAGUACUUAAUACUGACCCGAUUUGAUGGUAUAUACAAUGUGUAAUGAUAGUAGCAGGGUAGCAGCUUUGGAACAUUGAAGCGAAUCUUGAGUC